GAUGAAGAACGCAGCGAAAUGCGAUAAGUAGUGUGAAUUGCAGAAUUCAGUGAAUCAUCGAAUCUUUGAACGCACAUUGCGCCCCAUGGUAUUCCGUGGGGCAUGCCUGUUCGAGCGUCAUUUACCCCCCCAAGCUCCGCUUGGUGUUGGGCGUCUGUCCCGCUUCGCGCGCGGACUCGCCCCAAAGGUAUUGGCAGCGGUCGUGCCAGCUUCUCGCGCAGCACAUUGCGCUUCUCGAGGCACCGGUGGGCCCGCGUCCAUCAAGCUCACCCCCCCAGUUUGACCUCGGAUCAGGUAGGGAUACCCGCUGAACUUAAGCAUAUCAAUAAGCGGAGGA
rnacentral:misc_RNA from 1 species